rnacentral:rRNA from 1 species
UACGAAGGGGGCUAGCGUUGCUCGGAAUCACUGGGCGUAAAGGGCGCGUAGGCGGCCGAUCAAGUCAGGGGUGAAAGCCUGUGGCUCAACCACAGAAUUGCCUUUGAUACUGUUCGGCUCGAGACCGGAAGAGGUAAGUGGAACUGCGAGUGUAGAGGUGAAAUUCGUAGAUAUUCGCAAGAACACCAGUGGCGAAAGGCGGCUUACUGGUCCGGUUCUGACGCUGAGGCGCGAAAGCUAGGGGAGCAAACGGG